AGUCUGUUGGAAUACAGCGUCAUAGUGGUGAGAACCCCGUAACUGAUGCGGAUGCCCGGUGCUUUGUGAUACACUUUCGAAGAGUCGAGUUGUUUGGGAAUGCAGCUCAAAUUGGGUGGUAAAUUCCAUCUAAAGCUAAAUAUUGGCGAGAGACCGAUAGCGAACAAGUACCGUGAGGGAAAGAUGAAAAGCACUUUGGAAAGAGAGUUAACAGUACGUGAAAUUGUUGGAAGGGAAACGCUUGAGGUCAGACUUGCUAUUUGGAAUUCAGCCGCAAGGUGUACUUUUCAAUUCGCAGGCCAGCAUCAGUUUUCGGGGGUGGAAAAGGGUAGAGAGAAGGUAGCUGUCUCGGCAGUGUUAUAGCUCUUUACUGGAUUCAUCCUUGGGGACUGAGGAACGCAGCACGCUUUUUGCAAGGCUUUCGAGCUUUUCGUGCUUAGGAUGCUGGUGGAAUGGCCUUAAACGACCCGUCUUGAAACACGGACC
rnacentral:rRNA from 1 species